rnacentral:lncRNA from 1 species
AACACACACACACACACACACACACACACACACACCCCACUUCAAAAUUCAAAAGAUUUGCUCAAGCUCACUCAGCACGCUGAUGGGGAGCCAGGCCAGGCCAGAGCUCCCCCUGUGGCUCACACCACUGUGAGGAAGGAAGCCUCCCCCACAUACAGCCCCCAGGCUUCACCCUGUACUGAGGGCCAGGUGGUUUCUCUCCAGUCAUGGUAAUGUGGGUACUGGACAAGCCCGGGCUCUGGCCACCAGGCAAAUGGGUAGGUCAACAAGGCAAAGUUGGUGGGAGCUUCACCCCAUCAAGCCCAGAAACAAGGGCUGGUUACUGGGAACACCCUAGGGUAGGCUGUACUCACAACCAGGAAUCUUUGACAAAAAUAUAAACCUGCUAGAAAGAUUAGAAGAGACAAUCUCUUCCUUUGUCAAAUUAUCUGGACCAACACCUACUGAGCAUCUACCAUGUGUGAGGGUCUGUCCUAGCUCACUAUCUUAUGCAGUCUAGGUAAGGAUGGAAUGAGAUAAAUGCAAGGGCAUGACACACUAAAUAGGCAUCCCCCAAAUAGUAGCCAUUACUCAUCUAUCAAAUAUCCCCUAAGUCCUUGCUCUGUGUGCAGAGGGAACAGAUACUUGGGCUGAUCCUCGAGGCCAGGAAAGAUACGUGGACAGAAAGCUUUGCCACAACACUGAAAUUUGUGUGAUAAAUGCUUUGAGGGCCAAGAGGAGAAAUAAAUUACUUCCAGCUGUGGAGAGGUUUCAUGGAGGCUGUGGUAUGCAAGGGAGGGAAAGGAAU